AUGAGGAAAUACUGGAAUCUGCCAGAUGAAAAAUCUCUCAUGGCCUUUUCCCCCGAGUGGCUGUUACAAAGCUUAAGUUUCUGUUCAGGCGAUAUGAGAGAAAAAUUCCUACUUGUUCUGUGGAGAUCUUGGCAUAUGAGGGAUGAUGCCAUUCACAGUAAAGGAGAAGCUUCUAUCAGAGAUUCGGUGUUGUUUCUAAAAUCCUACUGGGAGUGCUUGAACUCUGAAAUCCCUGCUGUAAAUGAUAGUAAAGGUAAACAGAAACUGCAUGAAAUUUCAGUGCCAGCUCCUAGUAUCCCUCGACCUGACACUGGUUGGACAAAACCUCCUGAGAAGUACAUUAAAAUCAACAUUGAUGCGUCCUUCAUACCCUCCUUGGGUUUAACUGUUGUGGGUGCCAUUGGUAGAGACAGUUUGGGUGCUGUUUUAUUCUCGGCAGGCUGUCGUUUUCAGGGUUGCAUGGAUGCGGAGGAAUCUGAAGCUUGGGCACUGUCCUUUGGACUAAGACAAGCUAGCAAUUUGUCAUUAAACCAUAUUCUGGUGGAAUCUGACUGCUCUGCCGUGGUGUCUGCAGUUUCCGACGGCAACAUUGGCAGAACCAGGUGGUGGGCAAGCUAUGAGGAGUCAAAGAGAUUGAUGAGAGGUUUUGAGUCUUGUAAUGUGACCAAAACUUAUAGGGAGUGCAAUGUGGCCGCACAUGAGUUAGCUACGUAUGCUAGAAUCCAGGGUGAUUUCCUUUUCUCAGCUGAUGUGCCACAUAGUGUGAAACAUGUAAUCAUGUCCGACUGUAUACCUGGAUAA
rnacentral:rRNA from 1 species